GGGGUGCAGCAGGCGCGAAACCCCUGCAAUAGGCGAAAGCCUGACAGGGUUACUCUGAGUGAUGCCCGUUAAGGGUAUCUUUUGGCACCUCUAAAAAUGGUGCAGAAUAAGGGGUGGGCAAGUCUGGUGUCAGCCGCCGCGGUAAUACCAGCACCCCGAGUUGUCGGGACGAUUAUUGGGCCUAAAGCAUCCGUAGCCUGUUCUGCAAGUCCUCCGUUAAAUCCACCUGCUUAACGGAUGGGUUGCGGGGGAUACCGCAGAGCUAGGAGGCGGGAGAGGCAAACGGUACUCAGUGGGUAGAGGUAAAAUCCAUUGAUCUACUGAAGACCACCAGUGGCGAAGGCGGUUUGCCAGAACGCGCUCGACGGUGAGGGAUGAAAGCUGGGGGAGCAAACCGGAUUAGAUACCCGGGUAGUCCCAGCUGUAAACGAUGCAGACUCGGUGAUGGGCUGGCCUUGUGCCAACCCAGUGCCGCAGGGAAGCCGUUAAGUCUGCCGCCUGGGGAGUACGGUCGCAAGACUGAAACUUAAAGGAAU
rnacentral:rRNA from 1 species